AUCUAAGGUCAUACCACCCUGAACAUGCCCGAUCUCGUCUGAUCUUGGAAGCUAAGCAGGGUCGGGCCUGGUUAGUACUUAGAUGGGAGAAACACUACCAGUAUACCAUCUGUAAUAACAAGAGUGUUGAAAA
rnacentral:rRNA from 1 species